rnacentral:rRNA from 1 species
GAUGAACGCUGGCGGCGUGCUUAACACAUGCAAGUCGAACGGUGAACACGGAGCUUGCUCUGUGGGAUCAGUGGCGAACGGGUGAGUAACACGUGAGCAACCUGCCCCUGACUCUGGGAUAAGCGCUGGAAACGGCGUCUAAUACUGGAUAUGUGACGUGACCGCAUGGUCUGCGUUUGGAAAGAUUUUUCGGUUGGGGAUGGGCUCGCGGCCUAUCAGCUUGUUGGUGAGGUAAUGGCUCACCAAGGCGUCGACGGGUAGCCGGCCUGAGAGGGUGACCGGCCACACUGGGACUGAGAGACGGCCCAGACUCCUACGGGAGGCAGCAGUGGGGAAUAUUGCACAAUGGGCGCAAGCCUGAUGCAGCAACGCCGCGUGAGGGAUGACGGCCUUCGGGUUGUAAACCUCUUUUAGCAGGGAAGAAGCGAAAGUGACGGUACCUGCAGAAAAAGCGCCGGCUAACUACGUG